GACAGAGGGUGCAAACGUUGUUCGGAAUUACUGGGCGUAAAGCGUGUGUAGGCGGCUUUGCAAGUCGGAUGUGAAAGCCCCGGGCUCAACCCGGGAAGUGCACUCGAUACUGCAGAGCUUGAGUGUCGGAGAGGUUGGUGGAAUUCUCGGUGUAGAGGUGAAAUUCGUAGAUAUCGAGAGGAACACCGGUGGCGAAGGCGGGUCUCUGGGCCGAUACUGACGCUGAGGAGCGAAAGCGUGGGGAGCGAACAGG
rnacentral:rRNA from 1 species